rnacentral:rRNA from 1 species
GUUGAUCCUGCCGGACCUGACUGCUAUCUGAUUGGUACUAAGCCAUGCGAGUCAUUGUAGCAAUACAAGGCGGACGGCUCAGUAACACGUAGUCAACCUAACUCGUGGACGUGGAUAACCUCGGGAAACUGAGAAUAAACCGCGAUAGAUCAUUAUGCCUGGAAUGGCUUAUGGUCCAAAUAGUUUACUGCCAUGGGAUGGGACUGCGGCCUAUCAGCUUGUUGGUGAGGUAAUGGCCCACCAAGGCUAUAACAGGUACGGGCUCUGAGAGGAGAAGCCCGGAGAUGGGUACUGAGACACGGACCCAGGCCCUAUGGGGCGCAGCAGGCGAGAAACCUUAGCAAUGUGCGAAAGCACGACUGGGUCAGUCCGAGUGAUUCCUGAUAAAGGAGUCUUUUGCUUGUCCUAAAAGCACAGGUGAAUAAGGGGUGGGCAAGUCUGGUGUCAGCCGCCGCGGUAAUACCAGCACCUCGAGUGGUCAGGACGUUUAUUGGGCCUAAAGCAUCCGCAGCCGGCUCUGCAAGUCUUCGGUUAAAUCCACCUGCUCAACAGAUGGGCCGCUGGAGAUACUACAGAGCUAGGGAGUGGGAGAGGCAGACGGUAUUCAGUGGGUAGGGGUAAAAUCCUCUGAUCC